UUUUUUUUUUUGCUUCUUAAGGCCAAACCCGCAGCAUAUGUGGAAGUUCCUAGGCUGGGGUCGAAUUGGACCUGCAGUUGCCAGUGUAUGCCAUAGCCACAGCAAUGCGGAAUCAGAGCCACAUCUGCAAGCUGCAUCAUAGCUCACAGUGACACCAGGGAUUGAACCUGCAUCCUUGUGGAUAUUAAUUGGAUACAUUUCCACUGUGCCACAAUGGGAACCCCCUUGUAUGACAUUUUUUUUUUAAGGUUUUUGUAUAACAUUUUGUAAAAAUUUUAGGGACUACAUGUUGUUUCUUCCUAAAGACUAGGGACUCAUGGAUCCCUAGUUAAGAAGCCCUAGAGUUGAGAUUUUCAAGAAGUGACUGUAAUCAACAGGUAAAUGAAAAAGUGAGAACUGGGAAGUGGCCCCUGGAUUUGGCUUCAGAUUGUUGAUGUCAUUGGUCGGAGCAGUUUCAGUGAGGUUGGGUGAGGUGGAACAGAAGCUCGACUACAAAGUGCUACAAGAAUGAGAAUCAAGAAAGUAGCGGCAUGGAGUUCCCGUCGUGGCUCAGUGGCUAACGAAUCCGACUAGGAACCAUGAGGUUGCGGGUUCGAUCCCUGGUCUUGCCCAGUGGGUUAAGGUUUGGCGUUGCCAUGAGCUGUGGUGUAGAUUGCAGACGCGGCUCGGACCCCGAGUUGCUGUGGCUCUGGUGUAGGCCGGCAGCUACAGCUCCAGUUGGACCCCUGGCCUGGGAACCUCCAUAUGCUGCAGGAGUGGCCCCAGAAAAGGCAAAAAGACCGAAAAAAAAGAAAGCAGCAGCAGCAGCAAGUAUGGUCAACCAUUUAGAGUAGAAAGGCCCCGAUGAUAGAGGUGGCCAGGAGACAGUGGAGGUCAAGGGCUGCAGGGAGCAUUUUCCUGGACUUCCUCUGCUUCUAGGACUAGACCAGCCAGAGGGAGGGCAGAAUGGAUACCACUCAGUGUUGCAGCCCAACUGGUGGCUUUAGCUUUCACUGUCCUGGAAAUGCCAACAGUCUCAGAAAUGGGAGUUGAGGGGGAUCCUUGGAACAGGAGACAUCUCUGAAGUAAUAAAGGCUAGAGGAUGAUAUGGGCUCAGCCAGAGUAGAUGCUAUUGAUUAAGUCCUUCCCCUUCAGACUCCACACUAGGGUGGCUCUGGGCAUCCUUCAAUGAGAAGGGGACUCUCCUCUGCCCCCCAAGCCCUCCCAUGGCCUCUGCUGUCUCCUAGCCACCCCCAUCUUUAGGGCCCUUCUACUCUAAAUGGUUGACAACACUUGCUGCCUCCACUGUCUUGAUUUCCAUUCUUCCAGCACUUCACAGUCUAGCUUCUGUUCCACCUCAUUCCACCUCACCGCUGCCACAGCAGCUGGAUCCCAGACCUGAAACCAGUACUUCCAGCAGCCUUGCCACAUCAGUGAAGCUAACAUCAAAGCAGACCAUGGCUUGUCCUCACGACCGCAGAGGGAAGCACACCAUGUGUCCUGGUUUCUCUUCUCACCAGGAAGCCUUGGACUGGGUUCCCGGCGUGCUUCCAUGAUUCUCUCCACUCAUAUCUCCUCAACCCUGCUCCGUGAUCCCAGGCUUAUCCCUUUCUUGUCAUCCUGAUGAUCCUUUCCAUCAUCACUGAGCACAUUAGUUACUUAUGUCCUCUCUUUUUUUUAGCAUCGUUCUUUCUAAUGAUAAAACCACCUUCCCAAUGAAAGAUUUAUUGUUCGGGGAACCGUCUCCAACUCCCCAUGGUGGUGAAAUUAGACAAAGGCUAAUCACAUGUGGGAAACUGGAGAAGGAAAUGGCUCAGAUUUACACUCGAUUCCUGUGGAACAGCAUUGUCAGUGGGAGCCUAUGACCGAGGCUUUACUCUGAGUGGCUGAAUGUUUAUAAGGACACAAAGUGCCCAUUUAUCUCCUAUCUUGGGAGGAAGCAAGGGUCCUCACUGGGGCCUGGCACUUGCCAGUGUGCUGAUCGCUGGGCCAAGUUGCCAGGUUUCAGUAAUCCCUCAAAGGCAUCCAGGGAGCAAGCGAGGGUCCCAGGUCAGAGCUGGAGCAGGGUCUGCUCUCGACUUCGUGGCCCCCAGGAUGUACCUCAGCUGCACUGGACCACAGCAACCACCAGAAAGGAGACCAGGCUUACCAAGUAGAAGCUGUCCUGCAAAACUUAGAACCAUCCCACUGGCAUCCCUUCCACUUCCCACUGCCAAAGCCCCAGUGUUUAAAAAAGAAAAUGCUCAGGAGUUCCCAUUGUGGCUCAGUGGGUGAAGAACUUGACUAGUAUCCAUGAGGAUACGGGUUCAAUCCCUGGCCUCACUCAGUGGGUUAAGGAUCCGCAUUGCUGUGAGCUGCAGUGGAAGUCACAGAAGCAGCUUGGAUCUGGUGUCACUGUGGCUGUGGUGUAGGCCGGCAGUUGCAGCUCUGAUUUGACCUUUAGCCUGAGAACUUCUACAUGCCAUGGGUGUGCAAAACAAAACAAAACAAAACAAAACAGAGCACUCAGCAGCCACAGAAAAUCUUUCAGAUAAAUUAGGGCUGAGCCAAACAUUCACAUAUCGGGAGCCUGGUUCCCUAGGGUAGCCUUAUCCUCCUCCCAGGAUCAGCAUUUCCUGGGUGAGGAGGAAGAAUCCAAUAAAAAGAGUGAACAUCCUCCUGCAAUUCUAGCAGGGUGCCCAGAAAGAAACAAGGGCUGUGGCCUCUGAAAAAGCUGGGUGGCAGUCCUAACCCUGCCACCAAAAUGCUGAGUGACUUUGGGCUCAUCCCUUAACUUCUUUGAGCUUCUACUUGCUCUCUCGACAGUAGAAUAAGAAUUCUGUAAGGGAGCAAAGUUUGCCAGCCCAAAACGUCUCUUUGGCAUGAAGAAGAAACAAAAGGCUCCAGAAGUUUUUUCUUUUCCCCUUUGUCCUCCUUAACUGCCUCAAAGAAUUUAGAGAGAGGGCCUUCUCCAAGAAAGAGAACUAUCACCAGAGCUAUCUAUAGUACAAUAUGAAUGAGGCAUGGCAGACAGGGUGGGACCCAGCAAAGUCUCUUUGUUAAAACUCCUCUCUGUAUCCCUUUUUUUCUACAUGUCCCAGCAUGUCCCAUUUGUUCACCAAACAUUGUCUCUUUUUCCAUCUUCCUACAAAUUGCCUUCCUUCCCUUUGAAGUCCCAGACACCACCCCCUCCUCCUUGGCCAGAAAGACAUAUAGACCUCAUUUUGCCUGUCUUUGGACUCUCUCAUGUUAAUGUGGAUUUCUUGUACAUAAGUCAUUUAAUUUGAUUUUCUCCUGUUAGUCCGUCGCAUGUCAAUUUAAUUCUUAGACUAGCCAGAAGAGCUGAGAAGGGUAGAGGAAAAUUUUUUUCCUUCCUGGCAGUUCUCAUAAACCUGGAUUUUUCCUGUAUAGUACUUGUUCCAAGUCUGUCCUGUCCUAGCCUCCAAGUCUAAGGUCCCUGAGGGUAUAUACUAUGUCGCUCCUAUUCAUCAUUAAAUUUCCAGUACUUUGCAUAGUACCUGGAACAUAGUAGCUGCACCAGAAAUAUUCCUUGAAUGAAUAAAUGUGUUCGAUAAGGAAGUUCAUACUGUUCUUUAGUUCUUUGGAUUAAUAACAAAACAAAUCCACCUAAAUUAGCUUAAGCAGAAAGGGAAAACAAUUUUAACAAUACAGGGACAUAUCACAGAGAUUAGAUUACAGCCUAGCCUCGGGAAUUCAGCAGAAUCAGAAACACAAACACCAGUGGAAGUCUUCCCAUCUUUCCUUUUUUCUUAUCAGAUCAGCUUCUCCUGAUUUUCACUUCUAUUCAGUGAGGAAAAUAUGACUAAUAAGACAAUCUAAGAGCUCUGAAGUAAGUCAGAAAGAGAAAGACAAAUACCAUAUGAUAUCACUUAUACCUGGAAUGGAAUAUACGGCACCACUGGACCUACCUACAGAAAAGAAACAAACUCAUGGACAUGGAGAACAGACUUGUGGUUGCUAAGAGGGAGGGGGAGGGAAUGGGAUGGACUGGGAGUUUGGGGUUAGUAGAUGCAAACUAUUGCACUUAGAGUAGAUAAGCAAUCAGAUCCUGCUGUAUAGCACAGGGAACUAUAUCCAGUCAUUGUGUAUAUAAAUGUAUACAUGGGUCACUUUUCUGUACAGCAGAAAUUGACAGAACAUUGUAAAUCAAUGAGGUUUUUUUUUUUGUUUUUUGUUUGUUUUGUUUUUGCUUUUUAGGGCCACACUUGCGGCAGAUGGAGGUUCUCAGGCUAGGGGUCCAAUCGGAGCUACAGCUGCCAGCCUACCCACAGCCACAGCAACACAGGAUCCGAGCCAUGUCUGUGACCUACACCACAGCUCACGGCAACACCAGAUCCUUAACCCUGAAUGAGGCCAGGGAUUGAACCUGAAACCUCAUGGAUUCAUUUCCACUACGCCAUGACGGGAACUCCUAAAUCAACUACAAUUAAAAAUUUUUUUUAAUUUAAAAAAAAGUUCCCAAGGAGUUCCGUCUUGGCGCAGUGGUUAACGAAUCCAACUAGGAACCAUGAGGUUUCAGAUUCGAUCCCUGGCCUUGUCCAGUGGGUUAAGGAUCCGGUGUUGCUGUGAGCUGUGGUGUAGGUUGCAGAUGCGGUUUGGAUCCCGCGUUGCUGUGGCUCUGGCAUAGGCGGGGGGCUACAGCUCCUAUUCGACCCCUAGCCUGGGAACCUCCAUAUGCUGUGGGAGCGGCCCAAAGAAAUAGCAAAAAGAC
rnacentral:lncRNA from 1 species